UACGAAGGGGGGCUAGCGUUGCUCGGAAUUACUGGGCGUAAAGGGCGCGUAGGCGGCACUGUUAGUCAGGCGUGAAAAUUCCUGGGCUCAACCUGGGGACUGCGCUUGAUACGGCAGAGCUAGAGGAUGGAAGAGGCUCGCGGAAUUCCCAGUGUAGAGGUGAAAUUCGUAGAUAUUGGGAAGAACACCGGUGGCGAAGGCGGCGAGCUGGUCCAUUACUGACGCUGAGGCGCGACAGCGUGGGGAGCAAACAGG
rnacentral:rRNA from 1 species